UAAACCUGAGUAGCCCGAGCCAAGUGGGACAGUGUAAAAGGUGGUUAGACGGCCUAUUUGUAAGCUAUUAAAAUAAGAAUAGUUAGUUUGGAAAAAAGAAGGACGACCUGAAAGAGUAGGGGUGUAAUCUUAUGUAUUUUUUUGAGGGAAGGGGAGUAUUCUUCUUUAGGCUGAGUCCACGGAACCGGUUAACUGAAGACAUGGAUUAGAUACCCAUUUAUUGCCGACGCAAACUUUGCUUUUGGUGCAGCUGCUUGGGUACUACGAGCGAGUGCUUAAAACUCAAAGAACUUGGCGGCUUGUUAACUACCUAGGGGAAUAUGCGCCUUAAUCCGAUGAUCCCCGUCAUAUCUUACUGAGUCUUGAAAAAGUGCAGCUGGUGUAUUGCCGUUGUCAGCUUGUUGUUCGAGCAGAGAGAAACAGGCUUGAUGGUUUUUACUUGAUAAGUUUCAUAAAAAGCCAUGAAUUCAGGUCGUAAUACUGCCUAUGGCUCAAGGGAGCGGGUGUUACAAUUCGUAUUUAGAAUCACGGAUCUUUAUUGUGAAAUCUUAAAGUGAAGGUGAACUUAGGAGUAAGGAGGGAUUAAUAUGCUUUCCUGAACAUGAAUCUAACUCGUGUACAAACUGCCCGUCGCUCUCGGUGAGAACUGAGAUAAGUCGU
rnacentral:rRNA from 1 species